ensembl:lncRNA
CUCUAACUUCCAUUUAUAUUGUUAAUGAGCCCAUAACUUAUAACACAAAUAACCUUAGAGAUCUUUCAACUAGUCCAGACUAAACAUGUAGAAUAGAGUGUGCAGAUCCCAAGGUUAAUCAAUGAAGCGCAGCGGCAUACGGUUUAAGCUGCAAAUCCAGUUUGUCUCCCUGUUUGGCUUUAAUUAAUAGCAGAGACAUAAACGACAGUGUAUCCUCACACCAGACCGCCAUCUGUGAUAGUGGGAGGUGAGCAAUUUGACAGACACAUACUUUGUGUUGUAUGAGUAUGUAUAAGCUGCUUUGCUUGUUAUUCUCUGUCAGAUAUAUGGCUCCAAAGCAACAGAGUAAGACCAACAAAACCACAAGCAUAAAUAAAGUAAAGAUCUGUGGGGAGGAGAUGGUGGGGGGGACCCAGCUGAACUCUACCUCAGUGAUUCUCAGCUAGUUUUACUUCACAACUCAGAUUUAACCAACACCAUGCACCUAAAAAAGCAUUAAAAAUUAUAUAAAUAUAAAAAUAUAUAUUACUUAACAUUAUAAUAUUCAGAUGAAUACGGUGAAUUAAUCAGGUUCACAAAUAAGACUUGUUAUGCUACAAAAACUCUGCUUAAUACACAUGACUGUUCAUAUUCAUUAACCUUUAAAGAUUCUAAUUCAGGAAGUCUGUUCUCAUCUUUGUAAUGCCAUAAUUAAUCUCAGAGUCAGAUGUAGGUGUUCUACCUCUUAAUGUAGUCACACCUUUUGGUGAUAUUCACAGCAGGGUUAGAUUAUACUGAAUUGCUCAUUUACAGUUCCUUAUUACAUAAGUUUUUGAUAAUAGAUCAGAGUUGUAAAAUCUUUCUGUGAUUUAACAAAGACAUUUUGCAUAGGAUUUUUGCAAACGCUUCCUAUUAUAGGCUUUAUGUGGCACACAGAACUUUAACUCAAAACUUGCAUGCCAUAAUUAAUCUUUGUUAAUCUUGCUCCAUCUUGAUCGUGUUUCAAUCAAGCGGUAUGCCAGACAUUGGAAAAAGUCUCCUAAUUGCCCUACUGACCCCACUUCAAGACCAACACAGAAAAAAACCCCUGAAUAUCUAAGCCAAUUUUCAAAAACAUUGAUUUUUGAAUGCACAACUCAGAUCUAUAGUCCUUAUUAUUUAAUGCUAAAUCAGAAAAGAAGCCACAAAGAGAGCUCCUAAAGUCGAUGGCCAUGGUGGAGAAAGGAAAAGAAGAAGUGUUUUUAUGUCAAAACGGUUACACACACCCCUGAACAGAACAUGAGAAUGUAUAAUCAAGCCCAUGUAUCUUGGCAGCUGUCUCGUGAAUGACUUUCCUCCUGUAGAUUAACAUAUGGGGCAAAUAAGUGCGCUAUGGAGUGCUAACCCACCAGUUGGUUCCCUCCCCUCAGUGCAGAGAGAAUCAGAAUUGCUGCCAUAAGAUCCCUUUCCAGAGAUAAUAAUCCAAGUAUAAAUCCUUAUAUUUAAUUAUAAGCAUAAAGAAGUGAUAGAUGCUAAGGCUGAAGGGACCUGGAAAGACCUGGUGUUGUAGUAAUACGAAAGUCAAGAACUAAGGUGACAAACUGAUAAGCAUGCAUAUACCAUAUGAAUAUAAAUAAAACUAAGUAGAAUCAUGCUAAUGCUGAAAAUGAAAAAAACUGAAUAUGCACAAUUCUAAUUCUAAUUAUUAUAUAUAUAAACUGACAAUUGUCUUCACAUGCUAACAAUGACAUAAUAAUUUGAUCAUUACCAUGACUGUAAACUAAUCUUACAACCCACAUACCAUUUGUUGGGGCUGGGUGGCAAAACUCAUGAGUUAUGCAGAAAUAGAUACUGAAUGCCAGAAGCUUGACAGUUCCUACUGCCUAUUAGUAAAUCCUCUGCCACUCACUAAUAUAAAAGCUGAGGUAAGAUUGCAUCAUACAAAGCCAGAUUGCAAUGACACAAUCAUUAAUAACAUGUAUUGCUGGAACUGGCUUGUAUCUA